UAAUACAUGCAAUAGUAAUAAUUUGUAUUAUCAUGACGUUAUAUAUAACACAAAUACUAGCUCAGAAAAAAUAUUUGAUAUUGUUCAAAAUACUAGUGUUACUGAUACUGAUACUUCUACUACUGAUAGUGCUACUACUGAUAGUGCUACUACAGAUAGUGCUACUAUAGAUACGGCUACUAUAGAUACGGCUACUAUAGAUACGGCUACUAUAGAUACGGCUACUACAGAUACGGCUAUUACAGAUACGGCUAUUACAGAUACGGCUACUAAUAAUAACAACAAUGUUAGCUAUAAUAAUUAUUAUUACCAAAAAUGCCAUGAUUUAAAUUUGAUCAAUCGGUUUUAUUGUCCUAAUUUUAAAAGUAAUAAAGAUAUGUCAAAUAAUUCAUUUUUUAAUUGUGGAGGGGAAACUAAUAGUGAUGAUUAUACAGAUGCAGAUCGCUUAAUAACAAAACAUGCGAUAUGCGAUUUCCUAACCAAAAGCAAUAACAAAUUAAUAAAAAUAAAAUAUAAUAACAUGACUAAGGAGAGUGCCAGUGUGAAUAAAAACGAUAAUAAUAUGUAUAAUGAAUAUUUCCCAUACAUGCAAAACAUUACAAAUAACAGCAACUAUCAUUUUGUGUAUGAUAUAGACAAUUUAAAUAAUUAUAACGAAACUAACAAACUGUUUACUACUCAGCUUGACAACCAAAAUUUACAAUACAGUGAUGAACAUGCUAUAAAAUUAAAUAACUUUUGCAAUUUAGGUGAUAAUGACGGCAACAUGUAUAGCAACAGCAGACUAAGAAAGAACGGAUUUAGCAACAGUGGGUUUAACAAUAAUAUGCUUAGAAGUAGUAGUUUACAUAAAUCAACAACACCACGCAAACACAAUUCCAAUACAAAUAAUAAUACUACUAGCCAUGAUUUUGAAUUAAAAGACUUAUAUAUAUCUAAAAAGAAAUAUAAAAAUGUAAAUGUUCAUAAUAAAAAUAUACAUUUUCGAGCAUUACGUAAUUCGAGAAUAUAUAAUAAAAAAAAUAGAAAGUCAAUAAGUAACAAUAAUAAUAGUAGUAAUAAUUAUAUUAUUGGUCGUAGUAACAAUGAAAAAAGGUUAACAUAUUCAGAAAACUUAAGCUCUAAAAAAGAUAUUAAUAAAACACCAAAUAAAAAUGAUAUUUUUAUUAAUAAUGAUUUAAAUAAUUGUCCUACUUAUUUUGGUGAGCAAGCUUAUACUGUUUCGCCUACAUCUAUGGAUGUGGAAUUUUUUAAAAAUUAUAUAAAUCAAAACAAUGUAGUAAAUAAUAAUAACAGGUCUACUGUUACUACUACUACUACUACUACUUGUAGUAAUAAUAAUAUUAGUAAUACUAAUAAUACUAUUAUUAGUAGUGAUAAUAACUACAAUUUUACUGAUCGUUUUUAUACAACCAAUAAUUUUAUGCAAACAGAUAAUAACAUAAACAUUUAUUCAAACACAUUAAAUGAUAUUGAUAAUGAACGAAAUUACACUUUUAAACACACAUAUAAUAUGGAUGAUAAUAUAAAUAUCCACAACUUAUUAGAGAACUUCGACCUAAGCAACAGUUCAAUCAUGCGUGAUGAUAUAUCUUUACCUUAUUACAAUAAAAAUGAUAUGAAUUCCAUGAAAUCAUCGGUUUUGUUUAAUACAAUUAAAAAAAAUGAAAACGGCAUCAACAGUUAUUUUAAAAAUGAAACCCUAAGCAACAGUGUCCCAUGUAGUAACAAUAUGUACAACAUGGAUACACACAAUAGCAUUACCAGUAAUAGUAGUUCUAACAAUGGUCGUGAUUACAACUUUGAUACGUGGAUAAAUAAUAAUUGGAAGAUAAAUAAAAAUUUUAAUAAUAUAUGUUAAUAUUAUGAAAAAAAUAAAAAAUGGGACAUCUAUAUGUAUAUUAAUACA
rnacentral:lncRNA from 1 species